rnacentral:lncRNA from 10 species
CACGUCCAGAACACGCCAGAGACUGUCUCUUCCUGGUCAAAAGGCUGUGGCAGGAGGCCAGGCAGAUCACAGCGUCCAUGCCUAGAUGCUCCCUGACCCCCAGGAACCAGAAGUGCUGUCUCCUGAAGGCUCUGGAAACCCGGAAUCAGCCUACGAGGCACCAGGGCCACCUUGGAGGGUGGAAAUGAGGACCUCAGGCCCCAGAGGGCAUGCAGGCGAGGUGAAGUUCAGGAGAGCCAGGAAGUGUCCCCCUCUUCCCGGCCUGCUGUAUCCCAGGACACAGGGCCUGUGUGGUUUAUGGCAAGUCACUCUGUGCCUCUGUCUCCACGUGUUCAAGGAGGCAGCCGGUCCAAGGGGCCUUCAUAGAAGGGGCUGCCGAGAUGUGAGCCCUGCAUUGGGGGGAUGCCCCACAGAGGUGCUGUCCCCCAUCCCCUUUCCAGGUAUGAGUGUCCCCCAGCUCUGAGUGAAUCAGUAGGAGGUGCUGGACCUGGGCUGAUUCUCACAGUGGGACCUCAACUCUAGCCCCGGGUUGGCUGACAUUAGAGGACUUUGGGUCGUUGUUCUGGCAGCUGCAAGGAAGAGCCAAUGUCAGGGAGGGAAACCCCACAUUCCCUGGCACUAUCCAAACAAAGGUUUGGUUAAAACAAAGAAUUCUCAUGGAGAAGAGUCUGAAGGACCCAAAACACAUAUUUCUGUAGACAUCCCAUCCCAAAAUAAACCCAUGGAUCAAGCCAGACCCAAAUACAAGGAUGCUGUGAACCACAUGGUUGAAUAUUCCACACUUUCCCCAUCCAUUAAACCCCACCCAGGGUGGGAAGGGGAUGGAUUUCCCUCAGUUCUCAGGGCCUAGAAGAGCAGGGCUUUUUUCCCUCAACUGGUUGAGUUUUACUUUGUGAGCACCAUGAUUCCUAAAACCAGUUAUAUUUUCUUUUUCUCUUGGGCCGCCAGGGAACUCACAGCGAAAUCUACCAACCAAAGAGGAUGUCCAUACCUGUCUUUUUCUUUCUUCCUUCAUUUUUUGACUUAAUUUCCUCACUUGAAAAAAAAAAAUAAAACACCUUAUUCAGGGUAUACUUUAUGGGCAGUCUUAAUUUUUUUUAUUAGGAUGUGGGAUGUAAAUCCAUAAAAGAAGUAGAAGUGCUGAGCCUUCCUGUGGAGUGGGUGCUGGAGGGGAAAAGGUGGAGUUAGGGGAGGGAAGGGGAGGGCAGGAAGGUUGGUGAUGGGCAGAGAUUCACAGAGACUCCCAGGUCAGGGAGCAAUCCCCCAGUCAGGGCAGCAGGAAUGCCCAGAGGAAUUCUGAUCGGGACAGACGUCGGGCACUGAAUGAAGAGAGGUCCCUCAGGGGCCUGGUCUCAGGGGCCUUGAAUUCCACGCAAAGCGUGUCUUGAGCAUCAACUAUAUGCCAGGCACCUUUUACAUAUAUUAUUUCUUACUUCUAAAUUAUUCCAGAUUUUAAGCCGGGUGCAGUGGCUCACGCCUGUAAUCUCAGCAUUUUGGGAGGCCAAGGCAGAUGGAUAACCUGAGGUCAGGAGUUCGAGACCAGCCUGGCUAACACGGUGAAACCCCGUCUCUACUAAAAAUACAAAAAUUGCCUGGGUGUGGUGGUGCAUGCCUGUAAUCCUAGCUACAUGGAAGGCUGAGGCAGGAGGAUUGCUUGAACCUGAGUGGCAGAGGUUGCAAUGAGCUGAGAUUGUGCCACCGAGCUCCAGCCUGGACUACAAAGUGAGACUCCAUCUCAAAAUAAUAAAUAAAUAAAUAAAUAAAUCUAUCAAUCCAGAUUUUACCAAUUAGGAGACUGAGCCUCAGAGAAGUUAAAUCACUUGUCCAGAGCCCUGAAAUUGGAGAAGCAGCUGCGCUCAGACUGGAACCCUAGAUGGUAGGGCCCCUUAGUCCUCCUUUAUCUUGGGGGGAUCCAGGGAAGGCUUUUCAGCAGGGGAAUGAUGCAAUUGGAUACACAUGUCAGGGGGAACAUGACUGCUUGUGGCAAGGAACGCAGUAAGCCUGGG